rnacentral:tRNA from 1 species
GGGGUUGUGGCUCAGUGGUAGAGCACUUGCUUAGCAUGUGCAAGGUGCUGGGUUCAAUCCUCAACAUCA